AAAUAAAGAUCACUUUCAACAACGGAUCUCUUGGCUCUCGCAUCGAUGAAGAACGUAGCGAAGUGCGAUAAGUAAUGUGAAUUGCAGAAUUCCGUGAAUCAUCGAAUCUUUGAACGCAAAUUGCACUCUCUGGCAACCCGGGGAGUAUGCCUGUUUGAGGGUCAGUG
rnacentral:rRNA from 1 species